rnacentral:rRNA from 1 species
GACGAACGCUGGCGGCGUGCUUAACACAUGCCAGUCGAACGGAAAGGCCCUGCUUUUGUGGGGUGCUCGAGUGGCGAACGGGUGAGUAACACGUGAGUAACCUGCCCUUGACUUUGGGAUAACUUCAGGAAACUGGGGCUAAUACCGGAUAGGAGCUCCUGCUGCAUGGUGGGGGUUGGAAAGUUUCGGCGGUUGGGGAUGGACUCGCGGCUUAUCAGCUUGUUGGUGGGGUAGUGGCCUACCAAGGCUUUGACGGGUAGCCGGCCUGAGAGGGUGACCGGCCACAUUGGGACUGAGAUACGGCCCAGACUCCUACGGGAGGCAGCAGUGGGGAAUAUUGCACAAUGGGCGGAAGCCUGAUGCAGCAACGCCGCGUGCGGGAUGACGGCCUUCGGGUUGUAAACCGCUUUCGCCUGUGACGAGGCGUGAGUGACGGUAAUGGGUAAAGAAGCACCGGCUAACUACGUG